GACGAACCGUGCGAACGUUGUUCGGAAUCACUGGGCUUAAAGGGCGCGUAGGCGGGCUGUCAAGUCUUGGGGUGAAAUGGCUGCGGCUCAACCGUAGAACUGCCUUAGAUACGUGACGGCCUCGAGGAAGGUAGGGGCAUGCGGAACUGUAGGUGGAGCGGUGAAAUGCGUUGAUAUCUACAGGAACUCCAGUGGCGAAAGCGGCGGUGCUGGACCUUUUCUGACGCUGAGGCGCGAAAGCUAGGGGAGCAAACGGG
rnacentral:rRNA from 1 species